rnacentral:rRNA from 1 species
AGUGAACGCUGGCGGUAGGCCUAACACAUGCAAGUCGAACGGCAGCACAGUAAGAGCUUGCUCUUACGGGUGGCGAGUGGCGGACGGGUGAGGAAUACAUCGGAAUCUACUUUUUCGGGGGGGAUAACGUAGGGAAACUUACGAUAAUACCGCAUACGACCUACGGGUGAAAGCAGGGGAUCUUCGGACCUUGCGCGAUUGAAUGAGCCGAUGUCGGAUUAGCUAGUUGGCGGGGUAAAGGCCCACCAAGGAGACGAUCCGUAGCUGGUCUGAGAGGAGGAUCAGCCACCUUGGAACUGAGACACGCUCCAGACUCCUACGGGAGCCGGAGGAGGGGAACUUUGGACAAUGGGGGAAAGCCUGAUCCAGCCAUACCGCGUGGGUGAAGAAGGCCUUCGGGUUGUAAAGCCCUUUUGUUGUGAAAGAAAAGCAGCAGGGUAAUACCCCGCUGUUCUGACGGUACCCAAAGAAUAAGCACCGGCUAACUUCGUG